AGUCAAUGCUCGUAAGAGUGAACUAGCUAACUGAAAUCAAUCUACAUAUAAAUAUUGAUUGAUAACGUAAGGGAAAAUAAUGAUAUUACCUUACUAUUAGUGUCGUCCAAAUCUGGUGCCAGAAGACUCGGUAAGGCCAGAGACGCAAACGUUAAUCGUCUUAAACAGGCGUAAAGGGUUUGUAGGCUGCUUUAAAUUUUCUUUGUGAAGAUAGCCCAACAGAUAAUUAAUUAAAGCUAGAAUCAAAUAGAGGUUAUAUUAUAUAAUGCUUAAAGUAGGUCUAAUAUCCUAACAUAUUAAGUGGAAUAUUAAAAGCGAAGGCUUAUUUUCCAUAAAUGAUUGACGCUGAGAAACGAAGGUGAGGAUAGGAAAUAGGAUUAGAUACCCAAAAUACCCCUCUCUGUCAACGAUGAAUGGUGGUUGCUAAUUAUAGAAUUAGUAGCUAUGUUAACACGAUAACCAUUCCGCCUUGUGAGUACGACUGCAAAGUUGAAAACAAAAAAAUUAGUCGGUUUCGGAGCAAACGAAGUGAAGCAUGUUAUU
rnacentral:rRNA from 1 species